rnacentral:rRNA from 1 species
UACGUAGGGGGCAAGCGUUGUCCGGAUUCAUUGGGCGGAAAGAGCGUGUAGGCGGCCAGGUAGGUCGGUUGUGAAAACUGGAGGCUCAACCUUCAGAGGUCGACCGAAACCAUCUGGCUAGAGUCCGGGAGAGGAGAGUGGAAUUCCUGGUGUAGCGGUGAGAUGCGCAGAUAUCAGGAAGAACACCCGUGGCGAAAGCGGCUCUCUGGAACGGUACUGACGCUGAGACGCGAAAGCGUGGGGAGCGAACAGG